UGUGGGUCGGGGGUCCACCGAUAGCAGUGGGGCGGAGGGCGUUUGCUUCACUGUCCGAUACAAGUUAGAGUGCAGUUUAGGCGAAAAGAAAAGUGUCCUAUUAAACGCCCGACGACGGAAUGUGCCUCCGCGAGCAUGUGUGUGGAGACGCACGAAUUUAAAACAGCCCGCGAG
ensembl:misc_RNA